rnacentral:sRNA from 1 species
ACCGCCCAGGCUUCGCAUCCAGAUUGUCCUUGGCCCUGAAAAGAAAAGAAAAAGUCCAAACAAAAGUCAACCUGCAGCUCUCCCCCCUUCCCCCUCCAGCUGUUGCAUACGAGUACUAGGAUUGGCGGAACGGUGUCCAUGUCCCGCAUAUUCCUGUCAAGCUCCCUACAUACCCACCCACACUUGCAUUGUGUGCGCUAACUGCUGCAGCUCUACGCAGCACUGUGUCUUCGUGCCUCUCACUAACCACCUCGAUUGGACAGGGAAAACACGCCUGUGAGUUAAGGCGGAAAGCCUCGUCCUCGUCCCCGACAUGAUAGCCUAGCAUAGGCAGCUCUCGACCCUGGAUCGCUCCGCUCCCCGGAGUUGCUGGAUCAGACUUCGAAGAGGAAAAAGCAAAAUGGUCACAAGACGCGGUGGAGAAUUCCUUGUACAGCUCAGGAACUUGAAGGAAGACCCAACAGCAGUUGGCAAGUAAAAGUGCAAUUGACGCGAGCUGGCCCUUUGUUCCUCAUGCAUGAGUUAGUAUACUCCGCCUAUUCAAAAAGCAUAGCACACAUGGAAAGGCUUAUUGUGCAGAAAACCCCCCUCCAUAGCUUCGAGUAGGGCGUUCGUGGGCCCAAUGAAGGAGCGUUUGUAGAUGCCGGUAGACCAGACUUGCAUAUGCACAGAAUAUGCUGAGCUGUUUUUGAAACUCUCUGGCACGAUUCUGUCAAAUAACCAGGAAUACAGUACUCCGUAGAUGAGAUGGCGUCUGCAAAGCGGAGAUGUUUUGACAGAUCAACAUAUAUACAUAUAUUUACAGCUUCUUUUGAAUGUUUCUGUCAAUUGAUGCCCUGUAUAUACCCCCACCCAACUGCCUGUAAGCUCAGGAAUAUAGAGAACUAGUUUAUGUAGAGUCAUACACUCUACAUAAUUUCCAACUCAUAAGGAGGAAAAUCAAAAGAUGACAGCAAGACGCUACGUGCCUUUUCUACACAAGAUAUCUAGGUGCCUACGUGCACUCUAUAAUUGUACAGUACAUAAUGAUGCCCAAAAGAAAAGAAGCAAAACAUGGGGAGAGAAAUGAAUGAUUAUGGGAGCAGUGAGACGAAAAGAAAUCGAGAAGGGGAAACGGUGUUUAAGAGAGGUUUAUAGUUAAGGUAAUGUAGAGCAAAAUAUAGGCGGGCUCUGGGUGAAUGAAACCUGUCAGACCCGAAUCCCGAUCCCGCUCCGUAAAAUGAUCCAUAUUCUUCAUGCCAUAACUCGGUUGACGUAAGGAGGGUCCGACUGAGCUAAGUGAGAAGUGGCUGG